GGUCUGAUACUUCCUAUUAAAUGAAAAGAUGGAAUGCUUCUGCUUCUUUAGUUUAGUUCCAAAGAUAAAUGAUCUUAAUGGAAUUUUUGAUCGACUAGCUGUAUGGGUUAAUUGUGGUUGAUUAUUCACAGUAAGCUCAAACUCUUCGUCCAACAUCCUAAGGGUCUUAUCAAUUUCCGUUUGCAGUUUACUUACAUGAUCCGCGCCUGCUUGCAACUCCGCGCUUACCAUGUUGUUUUCUUGUUUCAUGUUCAAAAUCUCCCCUUGGAAUUUGGCAGCUUGAUGGCUGGAGAAUCUAAUUUCUUCGUCUUCGACACCUUCCUUUAAAGCAGUUGUGAUCCUCUCCUGGAUGCUGCAUAAUGAUGAAAAUCUCCGUUCAAGUUCAGCCUUAAGCACUACACUUCGCUCUAACCACACGGUUAAUUCUGCCCGGAUUUCUUUC
rnacentral:lncRNA from 1 species